rnacentral:tRNA from 7 species
GGGGCUGUAGGGUAGUCUGGUAUCCUACCAGCUUGGGGUGCUGGCGACCUGAGUUCAAAUCUCGGCAGCCCCA